UUGGCAUUUACAAUUGGAGGGUCACGCUCAGUGGAAUUCCCGUCCAGCCUCAAUCUGAUCUUCAUCCCUUACACGAUGGGAGCAAGGCGGCAACUGUGGGAUUUCCCUGAGGAUCUUGUUCAAGGGAUGAGCCUUUUGUACUGUGUGAGAAGAUGGCCAAUGCAUGAGGACAGCCCAGGAGUCAGGAAAAGCCCGGAUGAGGCGGCUGGUUGAUCAGGGUGUGCUCUGAUGCUAAGUGUCACAGGUGACCAGUACUGCUGACCUCUGCAAGGAUAGGUUUCACCUUCCUCCGCCCACCCUGCCCACUCAAGAGGGGCAGCCAUGGCCCAGCUCCCAAGGCAAGCGAGUG